AGUGAUGAUUCAAGUGGUAUUUCUGCAAAAUACAAGCAAGCAGAACAUCCUUAUUAAGCACAACAAUCAAGUAAUGAGAUCUAUCCUUUAGUAAAAAUAAAUAAGAAAAGUUGACAAAAAGCAUUUCGUUGGAGUACAUUUAAUGUUGAUCUCAUUCCAACUAAAAAUAGACAGCCCCCCAAAAAAAACCACAAAAAAAAU
rnacentral:misc_RNA from 1 species